rnacentral:rRNA from 1 species
UCCUACGGGCGGCAGCAGCAAGGAAUCUUGGGCAAUGGGCGAAAGCCUGACCCAGCGACGCCGCGUGGAUGAUGAAGGCCUUCGGGUCGUAAAAUCCUGUCGAGAGGGAAGAAAUGGUUUCCUGUUAAUAGCGGGAGACCCUGACUGUACCUCUGGAGGAAGCCCCGGCUAACUCCGUGCCAGCAGCCGCGGUA